GCGGGAAUAGCUCAGUUGGUAGAGCACAACCUUGCCAAGGUUGGGGCCGCGGGUUCGAAUCCCGUUUCCCGCUCCA
rnacentral:tRNA from 1 species